rnacentral:rRNA from 1 species
UACGGAGGGUGCAAGCGUUAUCCGGAUUCACUGGGUUUAAAGGGUGCGUAGGUGGGCAGGUAAGUCAGUGGUGAAAUCUCCGGGCUUAACCCGGAAACUGCCGUUGAUACUAUCUGUCUUGAAUAUAGUGGAGGUGAGCGGAAUAUGUCAUGUAGCGGUGAAAUGCUUAGAUAUGACAUAGAACAUCGAUUGCGAAGGCAGCUCGCUACGCUAUUAUUGACACUGAGGCACGAAAAGCGUGGGGGAUCAAACAGGAUUAGAUACCCCC